AUAUGCCUACAACAUAGCGUUAAUGCAUCAGAUCCCAUUAGAAAUCUAUAGUUAAGCAUGCUUAGGCUAGAGUACUAUUGGGAUGGGUGACCGCCCCAGAAGUCCUAGUGUUUUACAUGCC
rnacentral:rRNA from 1 species